UACGUAGGGUGCAAGCGUUGUUCGGAAUUACUGGGCGUAAAGGGCGCGUAGGCGGGCCCGUAUGUCGAUUGUGAAAGCCCAGGGCUCAACCUUGGAAUUGCAGUCGAAACUGCGGAUCUUGAAUGCCUGAGGGGAUGGCGGAAUUCCCGGUGUAGAAGUGAAAUUCGUAGAUAUCGGGAAGAACACCUGAGGCGAAGGCGGCUGUCUGGCGGUGCAUUGACGCUGAGGCGCGAAAGCGUGGGGAGCAAACAGG
rnacentral:rRNA from 1 species